rnacentral:rRNA from 1 species
UACGGGGGGGGCAAGCGUUGUUCGGAAUUACUGGGCGUAAAGGGCUCGUAGGCGGCCAACUAAGUCGGAUGUGAAAUCCCCAGGCUUAACCUGGGAACUGCAUCCGAUACUGGGUGGCUUGAAUCCGGGAGAGGGAUGCAGAAUUCCAGGUGUAGCGGUGAAAUGCGUAGAUAUCUGGAGGAAUACCGGUGGCGAAGGCGGCAUCCUGGACCGGCAUUGACGCUGAGUGAGCGAAAGCCAGGGGAGCAAACGGG